rnacentral:rRNA from 1 species
CCUACGGGAGGCAGCAGUGAGGAAUAUUGGUCAAUGGUCGGGAGACUGAACCAGCCAAGCCGCGUGAGGGAUGAAGGUACAGAGUAUCGUAAACCUCUUUUGUCAGGGAACAAAGGCGGGGACGUGUCCCCGGAUGAGUGUACCUGAAGAAAAAGCAUCGGCUAACUCCGUGCCAGCAGCCGCGGUAAUACGGAGGAUGCGAGCGUUAUCCGUAUUUAUUGGGUUUAAAGGGUGCGCAGGCGGUCUGUUAAGUCAGCGGUCAAAGCCCGGGGCCAAACCCCGGCCCGCCGUUGAAACUGGCAGUCUGGAGUUGGAGAGAGGUAUGCGGAAUGCGCGGUGUAGCGGUGAAAUGCAUAGAGAUCGCGAAGAACUCCGAUUGCGAAGGCAGCAUGCCGGCUCCACACUGACGCUGAGGCACGAAAGCGUGGGUAUCGAACAGGAUUAGAUACCCUAGUAGUC